CUCCCUCCUCCACUACCGUCAACGAACCGACAACCAUGAGAUCGACCGUCAUAAGGCUACAGACACUGCCAGCCAUGUCCUGCCUCUUAAACAAAACAAAAAAAUACAGUUUUUAGCAUUUUAACGCACACACCAAGAGCAGACUUGUUGCUCUUUUUUUUUCUAGAGAUUAAAGCGUCAUUUUUUUUUUAAAUAAUAAGGAUAAAAAAUGUCUUCCCGCACGCAGGCAAGGAGGUCUGGCGUUCAGAUGGUGAGCGCGGCGCUGCUGCUGCUCUCGCUCUCCGGUUGUUCAAGCAUGGAUGUGCUCAUGCCAAAUAACAUUAAUGCACUGAAUGGAACAACUGUCAAAAUCCCCUGCACAUUUACUUCCUGCUAUAAGAUGGAUGUUAGCAGGUUUGCCAUGAACUGGACCUACCAAGAAUCACUUAAUGAUACAGAAGACAUGUUUAUGACAUUCCAUAAGAAGAGAGGAAUGGUGCCUCUGCCUUCAGACCGGUUUGGAGACAGGGUCAUGUUUGCCGGAAACCUGGAUAAGAACGACCUGUCAAUCACCCUAUCAAAUGUUCAGAUCGAGGAUGAGGGGAUUUACAACUGCUAUGUGAGAAACCCCCCAGACCGCAUCCAGGGACAUGGUUCCAUACAGCUCAUUGUCGUUACUGAACUUCCCCGUCCAAGGGAUUCAACCAUCGCAGUUGCGAUUGGGGCAUCAGUGGGUGGAGCAUUAGCUCUGCUGAUCCUUUCCAUGGUUGUAGUGAAAUGUCUUCGUCGACACAGGAAACAGGAACUGAUUUCAGAGGAGAAGAUGGAGGAGGAGGGAAAACUGGAGGCUGAAGGUGUUGCAGAGGAGGGAACCAAACAACCAUAGUUGGGUCAUCUGAUUGAACCAGCGGCUUGUGGAGCUCUCACCCCCAACACCUUGACAUGUGCACCCCCUUCCUGAAGAUCUAUAGUAACUACUGAUUGAAUCAUUGUCCACCGAUACUUCCAUCCUUUCUGCAUGUAUGUGUAUGUGUAUGUGCCAGUGCAGACAAGUGUGCUUCUUUGUGUGUGUGUGUGUGUGUGUGUGUGUGUGUGUGUGUGUGUGUGUGUGUGUGUGUGUGUGUGUGUGUGUGUGUGUGUGUGUGUGUGUGUGUGUGUGUGUGUGUGUGUGUGUACUGACUGUGUCAAUGUGUGUGCAUAUUUCUAUAGGUCUGUGUGAGAUGUGUCUUUUUCCUCCAAAUAAGCCAGUGGACACUUUUCUGCAACUUAACCAUUAAACACAAAUUACUUUAUUCAGUGGCAUUAGACGUAGAUCACAUAAUAAGGAAUGGCAUUUUCAUCGCACACUAUAGGACAGGCUAGGGCUGGGCGGUAUGACCUAAAAUUUAUACCACAGUAUAGUUUCAGUAUAAAACGGUAACAAUAUCACAGCAUCACAAUAUCUAAUUGUAUUGCCUUAGUUAAAUCUAUUAUUAAGGAACUAUAAAUAAUGUUACUAGUGGCUGUGGUGGCAGAGCUGCAUACUUGAUGGAAGUUAAAAGCUGCACACUGCAUAGUAAAUGUUGAGGAUAUAUCUGUUAUGUGAUGGUAAAUUGUGCAGUUUGCGCCACUGUCUCACAACAGCUUUUUUUGUGGGGGUGAAAUGUUUUGGUUUAACAUACUGUGAAUCCAGUGUCUUUCAACAUUCCCUUAAAGCCAUGUCUCUCAACUGCACCAUAUCUUAACAUUGGGGUACAGUUAGUGCAUGUGUAAUGUCCUUCCACCACUGGCUUUUCUUAUCUUAAGACAACUGAUUGUCAGUGACUCAGCCAAAUGAUGUUUACUGUGCAUGUCUCAAUGAUUAGCAAGAGAGCAUUCUGAAACAUUCCUCAUGCCUGUGGAAGAUUUUCUUGCAAAAACUAUUGCCCUGCAUAGUCAACAGAAUCUGUUACUGUACUUUGCUUAAUAGACCUGUUUUCAGAGCAGACAUGUUGACUUGUCAUAGUAGGAAAAGCACAGGUGUACUAACAUUAACAAUGGUUCUGUUCUAUUCAAGCCAUGACAGUAGCUGUGUCCAAAAUCACUCCCUAUUUACUAUAUAGUGCACUAUAUUUACCCUCCGCCAUUUUCUUUGAGUGUCUGAAUUUUGAGUAUGUAAAAAGUAUGCACUAUAUAGUUCUCUCAAAAAUUCACUAUCACUAUGGAACAAAAAAGUAUUUUUUUUUGCUUUUUGAAGAUGUGGAAAUUACAGUCCCAUGACAUUACUCAGUGGUAACACAAAAUUAUGAUAAAGUGUCUGAAAUUUCAUAUUUGGAGUAGUGAAUAAACAAGGGAGCGAUUUCAGACAGAGCCUGUGUGACAGUGAGCCAGCAUGAACAAUACCAGUACUCUGAAACUGAAGCAGCUAAAUGGAAUUCAGCCAUCAUUAAUGUUAGUAUUUACACCAGUUCUUUUUCUAUUGUCACCUGUCAAAAUGCCUUCUGUUAAAAAGGCAGUUGAAGCAACAUGUUUUACAUAAUCUCUUCAUAUUUUGGCCCUGCCUAUGUCUUCUGUCGGUCUUUAUUUCUUCACUUUUUGUUAGCAUACACAUUUUUUUUUGUGUAAAAGGGGAUCGGCAGGCUCAUGUUUUUAUUGGUCUGAUGAGUAGUGACAUUGCCUAAAUGAACAACUGCACUGAUUAACAUGCAGUGAGUUGUAAUGCUUCCGAAGUACUUUAUGUGAAAUUCAUUACAAAUACAAAUACAAACUAAUACAAACAGCAUAGCCAAAUCUUAAUAUAUCUACUAUAUGUCAUUAGCAGUUAUACCGCCCACCUGUGUGACAGAAACGUCUGCAUCCAUCCCGGCCUUAUCUAGAGGAAUGAUAUGUUAGCAUGUGUGAUUACAGAAGUUUGAGUAGCAGGAAAAUAUUUCAGUUGAGUCUGUUAUUUACAGGGUUAAAAUAAGUUUUUCUAGACCAUACAAGACUUGCACUAUUUGUGACUGCAAUACUCUGUGCAACUGCAGACUUUGCAUUGGGAAAAUUGUCAGUGACAGUGUUGACAUAUCCUCUCAGAAUUCCUCCCUACAGUACAAAUAAAGCUAGCACUGGAUGAGAAGUAUGUUGUUAGAGAUAAAGUGAAGUGAAUUAUUGUUGACAUCAUGACAGCGUUCAAAGUCAAAAACAUAUCAAAGACAAUUUAAAGGGAAAAUACUCACAUUGCACCCACAAUCACAUAAUUCCUGUUUGAGCCAAACAACUAUUAAUAUUUAUGGUAGGAAUUAAUAAAGGUUGCCCUAACAGAAGACUACGCACAGACAGGUGACCAAAUGAUCCAAAUUAAAAUAUAAGAAGCUUAUAUCCAUAACUGAGAGACAAAGAAGAGAUUACUGACAAAAACAGUUAACAUUUGUUAUUUUGGCAACUAAAAGCAUGUACAUUGUACUAUACUGCCAUGAGUGCAUGUCAAACAGUGCAAAUCAGAAAGAAAAAUAUAAAAAGUAAGAAACUUAAAGGCUAUAGCAUGUUUAAGCUUUCACUCUAGCAAUCAGGUGGCACCAUUUAUCAAUACAUAUAUAUACAGUAGUAUUUUGCAUGCAUAUUUGAUUCAUAAAGUCUCAAUAAUAUUUGGUUGCACAUUGAUGAGUUGCAUCUGCCUCCUGUAAAAUAUCAAAAAACAAUUAAACUUUCAAUAUGUCAUAUUAUUAAGAAAACUAAAAAACUUCUGCACAAAUAAUCAAUGUCUUUUUAUUCUAACUCCAACUGGAGUCCAACUGGAGCCCUGUUUUAUAGAGAUUUUAAAAAGAAACACUUUAAACUGAGCCAUUGCACCUCAAUACAAACAUGUUAGUGUGUAUUUUAAAGCAGAUUAAUAUAAUAAAGUUAUACACGUGUUAAAACUUACAUCCUAGCUCGGUCUCCAAAGUAAUACCUUUACCUCAACACUGUUGGUUAAAACUGUAGAUAUUGUUUUGCACAUUGACACAUUUAUACCAAUUCUAAUAUAAUCCUAGUGGAGAGCGUGUGAAUAUGAUGGAAAAAAAGGAAAGCAUAUAAACCUCACUUUAAUAAGAUAGUAUAUUGGAAUGUGGGGCUAUGGGGCAUGGUGAUUGUAUGGUUAAAAGGGAAAUCUGUUGGUGGUUAAUUUUUUAAUAAUUUAUUUGGUUGCACCUUAAAUAUAAAAAAAAUAUAUAUUCUCUUGAAUAGAUCACUAUUUAUUAUUGUCUUCUUUUACAUGUUGCAGCAUGUAAGCUUUGUUUAUCUCUGAAUGUCCUAUGAUGUUAUAACUUAAAGGGUGUGAUGACAGGCCAGUAGUCAGAGUGAUGCCUCUAUGAUACCUGUAAUGUCUCCAGGGUCAUCCAGAUAUUGGAGAAUGGUUGGCACUUCCAAAUUCGGGGGCUUGGCCAGUCCUGGUUUCUGAUAUUGUUUUAAAAAAAAAUUGUACAGGUCUGUGUUUACGCCUAUUACUUAAUAGGGUCUUUUAAUGUUUUUUAUUAUUAAUGAUUUUAUGAUUAUAGGUGGUGUAUUGUGUGAUAAAUGUGGUAAUUUAACACAAUCUGCUGUGAAGAACAACAAUAAAUUGAAUAGGCAAAAUGCAUAUAACUGCAGAGUUGUUUGGUUGGGGGAGCACUAUCUGUACUGGGACACUGCUGUCUGUGUGUGAUCAUGCAUGUUUAAGUUGCAGGGUUUGUGUGGUUGACCCAUAGAGUGAUGACAGGUUAACAUUUGGGGCAAAUUUAGUGCAGUUUUUUUAACCAGGGAGGUUUUGUUAGCAAUAUGAAGUCAUAUACAUUACUAUACUGUAUUUCUCAAUCAGAAACAAUUAAACAAACAAAACAUUAAUACUGUGUAAUGUAUUAGACAUAUUUAUCAUUGUGCAUCACUGUUUACCAUCUCUGGCUAUGAGUUUGGCCAAAACAGUUGCUCUUGUAUCAAUUUAAAUGUUAGUGAACACCAAACUAAUGCUUGCACCGUGCUGCUUUUGAACAAGCAGCUGUCAUUGCAUUAUGUAUUUUAAAUAAAGAUUAUUUGGGAAAAUGUCA